GUGCUCACUUUGGCAGCACAUAUAAUAAAACUGGAACGAUACAGAGAAGAUUAGCAUCGCCCCUGUGCAAGGAUGGCACACAAAUUCAUGAAGCGUUUCAUAUUUUU
ensembl:snRNA U6 U6 spliceosomal RNA